GACGAACGCUGGCGGCGUGCUUAACACAUGCAAGUCGAACGAGGUCCAGCCGAUCCUUCGGGUGAGGCGAAGACCUAGUGGCGAACGGGUGCGUAACACGUGAGAAACCUGCCCCGAACU
rnacentral:rRNA from 1 species